AUACGAAAGGUGCAAGCGUUGUUCGGAUUUACUGGGCGUAAAGAGAUCGUAGGUGGUUUGUUAAGUUGGAUGUGAAAUCCCGGGGCUCAACCUCGGAACUGCAUCCAAAACUGGCAGACUUGAGUUCGGGAGGGGUAAGCGGAAUUCCGUGUGUAGCAGUGAAAUGCGUAGAUAUACGGAGGAACACCUGAGGCGAAGGCGGCUUACUGGACCGAUACUGACACUGAGGAUCGAAAGCGUGGGUAGCAAACAGGAUUAGAAACCCCAGUAGUCC
rnacentral:rRNA from 1 species